rnacentral:misc_RNA from 1 species
AAAUUCAGGAGUGCUUUCUUUACCUUUCAUGGUACGGGGAUUGAAAAAAAGGAAGGAAGAAGCUGCAGAAGAAGCUAAGCUUGCUCUAAAAGAGUAUGAAUCGUCAUUGAAGCAGCUGGAAGAUACAGAUGUGGCAGAAAAUACCCAAGUAGGCAAUGUGAGUGGUAGAAGAGUGUUUGGUGCAUCUAAAACACAGGUUACAGAACCAAAUAAUAAGAUAAAAUCAGACAACAAUUACAGUAGUAGUGAUGGUGAAGAUGAAUUCAGAGACAAAGAAGAUUAUACUGGCUUUGGCAGAACUAAUGUUUUGCAGAAGGAUAAUGUUAAUUCUGUUUUGCUUAGUGAGGAUUCUGGGACUCGACGGGAUUCUGAGUUUAAGAGUUUUGACGAUAUUGUUGAAGACGCAGGUCCCAAGACAACCUAUGAAGUUGCUAUUUUUGCAUCAGACACCUGGAGAAAGAUGAAAAGCCAAAAUGAAGUGGGCACCAAUAUCGGAAGGUCUCCAAAGGUUGUUGAACCUGUUAUGCAAAAUCAAGAUGCAGGGGAAGUAGGUGAGGAAAGUGAUACAGAUGGUGAAGGGCAAAUGGUGGAUGGGAUUUUAUCUUCAGGCCCUAAAAGGUCUUAUGAACUCCCUUCUCAAGAAGAGCUUAUACGUGAGGCUUUUGCUGGGGAUGAUGUAGAAGAAGAAUUUACAAAGAGUAAGGAGGAAAUUUUGAAUGAGGAAAAUCCUGAGCCGGAAAAGCCUGUCUUACUUCCUGGUUGGGGCCAGUGGACUCAUGUACAGAAGAAGAAAGGAUUGCCUUCUUGGAUGGUGGAAGAGCAUGAAAUUGCCAAGAGGAAAAGGGAGGAGGCUCUUAAGAAAAGAAAGGAUGCACAUCUUAAACACGUUAUUAUCUCAGAGAAGUUAGACAAAAAGGCAGAAAAAUUGCAUGCCAAAACAUUGCCAUACCCUUUUACGUCCAAGGAGGUUUUUGAACAUAGCAUACGUAUGCCUAUUGGGCCUGAUUUCAAUCCUGCAACAGCAGUUGGGGCUCUUAAUCGGCCUGAAGUAGUGAAAAAACCGGGUUUGAUUAUUAAGCCAGUCAAAUUUGAAGAUGUGGAUCCUCAUGAAAGAGAGGAGCACAAAAGGAGUGGACAAAAGCAGAAGCCAAGGGUAAAUAGGAGCAGACAUAGAGUAAAGCCUGUGGUGGCGAAAUCAUGAGAAGGCGAAGAUAACUGAUGGUAGGUUUAAUUUGUACCAAUUCAUUGCUAUAAAAAUUUUUUCCCUCGAGUAAUGAGAAAGUUCCCAGUUUUAUAAUUUUUAGGAAGCAUAAUUUUGUUAUUUAAGUUAAAAUAUCAAGUCCAAGCCAAAAGGUAGUUUUAAGAAAUCUCCAGUGAUCAGGAAACAAUAGAGCACCAGCACUGUAAU